UUGGCGACUCUGUGAGGGUUGAGGGAAGCACCGAGCGACGUCACUGCUCUCCCCCAGUUUCCACCGGCGCAUCUUACCCACGUCGCCGGUCUACCGCGCCUGAGAUUUGUCACUGCCUUCCCCAGUUCCUCGGCUAAUCCACUGGUGAGUCUCUUCGGCCUUUGCUUGCCUCCGAGUCCGAGCUCUGGCGGCGGCGGUCUAGCAAUCCCGGCGUACCUUUGAGGCAUUGGUUGUUGUCAGGGAUCUGGCAACCGCUUAGCGGUAACAAAGAUCUGUGUUUUUAAGGGGUAUAAUACUUGUG
rnacentral:lncRNA from 1 species